rnacentral:rRNA from 1 species
CUUGUAACCAUAAGAGGUCCAGCCUGCCCAGUGAUUUUAUUUAACGGCCGCGGUAUUCUAACCGUGCGAAGGUAGCGCAAUCACUUGUUUUCUAAAUAAAGACCAGUAUGAAAGGCAUCACGAGAACUUAACUGUCUCCUUUCUCCAAUCAGUGAACCUAAUCUCCCCGUGAAGAAGCGGGGAUCCCCCUAUAAGACGAGAAGACCCUGUGGAGCUUAAAAUAUGAUAUCAACUACUGCCCCAAUUACCCUCCCCACUUCCCCAGCGGCACCCUGAUCACAUAUUUUUGGUUGGGGUGACCGCGGAGAAAAACUUACCCUCCGUGAUGAAAAAGAAUUCCCUUAAACAACAAGUUACAACUUUAUGUAUCAAAAAAUUGACAUUCAUUGACCCAAUAAAUUGAUUAACGAAC